UCUUGAGAAAGGUUAGGGCACACGGGAUAGAUGGGAAGGUGUUAGGCUGGAUAGGGUCAUGCCUUAGCGACAGGCGACGGAGCUGUAAUAAGCGGGUUCAUGUAAUUAGUGGGAUGCCACAGUAGUCGUAGUGGGUGUGGAGAGGGGAAAGGGAAGUGAGGAAGUGAGGAUAUUAUAUGACAUAUUAUUUGAUAACAUGUCACCUUUAGUGAGUGUUAUUGUGUGUAAUAGUGAGUGUGGUUGGAGCAGUGAUAGGUGGCGCUGGGGAGGGAGAGCGGGUGGCUGGCUGGCUGGCUGGCUACAUUGUUUUGGUCAACACUGGUCAGUCUUGCCUCACACGCUCUUUUAACCAGUGUUUCUGUAUUCCCGGCAGCUUUUCCCUGUACCGAGCACUGCCAAGCAGCACCAGAGAGGCACGAAUACGUAAGCUUUUCCCUGUACCGAGCACUGCCAAGCAGCACCAGAGAGGCACGAAUACGUAAGGCUGCAAGACGCAACAAGACAGCACACAUCUGUUCAAGAGACAGCAUAAUGCAGAUGGUUUUAGCCAUAAAACUGAAGAAUGUCUUAAUAUGCAUACAAUUUCAAAAUUAAGCUGUGAUUCAGGUAAAUAAAUAUGCAAAAAGGCAGCACGAGGUGUCACUGUAAAAGUUAAAAGCCUGCCUGUAUCACACUGUCUGAGGGGAUGAAUAAAUAUAAACCUCACCUAACCCAACACAGAAGUGAAAAUCGCUAA